rnacentral:rRNA from 1 species
AAAUUAAAGAGUUUGAUCAUGGCUCAGAUUGAACGCUGGCGGCAGGCCUAACACAUGCAAGUCGAACGGUAACAGGAAGCAGCUUGCUGCUUCGCUGACGAGUGGCGGGCGGGUGAGUAAUGUCUGGGAAACUGCCUGAUGGAGGGGGAUAACUACUGGAAACGGUAGCUAAUACCGCAUAAUGUCGCAAGACCAAAGAGGGGGACCUUCGGGCCUCUUGCCAUCGGAUGUGCCCAGAUGGGAUUAGCUUGUUGGUGGGGUAACGGCUCACC